rnacentral:rRNA from 1 species
GCAUUCCUAUGGGAGGCAGCAGUGAGGAAUAUUGGUCAAUGGGCGAGAGCCUGAACCAGCCAAGUCGCGUGAGGGAAGACGGUCCUAUGGAUUGUAAACCUCUUUUGCCGGGGAGCAAAAAGCGGUACGUGUACCGCAUCGAGAGUACCCGGAGAAAAAGCAUCGGCUAACUCCGUGCCAGCAGCCGCGGUAAUACGGAGGAUGCGAGCGUUAUCCGGAUUUAUUGGGUUUAAAGGGUGCGCAGGCGGAAGCGCAAGUCAGCGGUAAAAUUGAGAGGCUCAACCUCUUCCCGCCGUUGAAACUGC